rnacentral:rRNA from 1 species
AUGCACGCUGGCGGCGUGCCUAAUACAUGCAAGUCGAGCGAACAGACGAGGAGCUUGCUCCUCUGACGUUAGCGGCGGACGGGUGAGUAACACGUGGAUAACCUACCUAUAAGACUGGGAUAACUUCGGGAAACCGGAGCUAAUACCGGAUAAUAUAUUGAACCGCAUGGUUCAAUAGUGAAAGACGGUUUUGCUGUCACUUAUAGAUGGAUCCGCGCCGCAUUAGCUAGUUGGUAAGGUAACGGCUUACCAAGGCAACGAUGCGUAGCCGACCUGAGAGGGUGAUCGGCCACACUGGAACUGAGACACGGUCCAGACUCCUACGGGAGGCAGCAGUAGGGAAUCUUCCGCAAUGGGCGAAAGCCUGACGGAGCAACGCCGCGUGAGUGAUGAAGGUCUUCGGAUCGUAAAACUCUGUUAUUAGGGAAGAACAAAUGUGUAGUAACUAUGCACGUCUUGACGGUACCUAAUCAGAAAGCCACGGCUAACUACGUG